AUGCACGCUGGCGGCGUGCCUAAUACAUGCAAGUCGAGCGAACAGACGAGGAGCUUGCUCCUCUGACGUUAGCGGCGGACGGGUGAGUAACACGUGGAUAACCUACCUAUAAGACUGGGAUAACUUCGGGAAACCGGAGCUAAUACCGGAUAAUAUAUUGAACCGCACGGUUCAAUAGUGAAAGACGGUUUUGCUGUCACUUAUAGAUGGAUCCGCGCCGCAUUAGCUAGUUGGUAAGGUAACGGCUUACCAAGGCAACGAUGCGUAGCCGACCUGAGAGGGUGAUCGGCCACACUGGAACUGAGACACGGUCCAGACUCCUACGGGAGGCAGCAGUAGGGAAUCUUCCGCAAUGGGCGAAAGCUUGACGGAGCAACGCCGCGUGAGUGAUGAAGGUCUUCGGAUCGUAAAACUCUGUUAUUAGGGAAGAACAAAUGUGUAAGUAACUAUGCACGUCUUGACGGUACCUAAUCAGAAAGCCACGGCUAACUACGUG
rnacentral:rRNA from 1 species